UACAGAGGUCCCAAGCGUUGUUCGGAUUCACUGGGCGUAAAGGGUGCGUAGGCGGCCGGGUAAGUCUGAUGUGAAGUCCCGCAGCUCAACUGCGGAACUGCAUCGGAUACUCUCCGGCUAGAGGAAUGGAGGGGAGACUGGAAUUCUCGGUGUAGCAGUGAAAUGCGUAGAUAUCGAGAGGAACACCAGUGGCGAAGGCGAGUCCCUGGAAAACUCCUGACACUGAGGCACGAAAGCUAGGGGAGCAAACAGG
rnacentral:rRNA from 1 species